CCUACGGGCGGCAGCAGUGAGGAAUAUUGGUCAAUGGACGAGAGUCUGAACCAGCCAAGUAGCGUGAAGGAUGACUGCCCUAUGGGUUGUAAACUUCUUUUAUAUGGGAAUAAAACGUUCCACGUGUGGGAUUUUGUAUGUACCAUAUGAAUAAGGAUCGGCUAACUCCGUGCCAGCAGCCGCGGUAAUACGGAGGUUCCGAGCGUUAUCCGGAUUUAUUGGGUUUAAAGGGAGCGUAGGUGGAUUGUUAAGUCAGUUGUGAAAGUUUGCGGCUCAACCGUAAAAUUGCAGUUGAAACUGGCAGUCUUGAGUACAGUAGAGGUGGGCGGAAUUCGUGGUGUAGCGGUGAAAUGCUUAGAUAUCACGAAGAACUCCGAUUGCGAAGGCAGUUCACUGGACUGCAACUGACACUGAGGCUCGAAAGUGUGGGUAUCAAACAGGAUUAGAUACCCCUGUAGUC
rnacentral:rRNA from 1 species